rnacentral:rRNA from 1 species
UACAGAGGUCCCAAGCGUUGUUCGGAUUCACUGGGCGUAAAGGGUGCGUAGGCGGCUUGGUAAGUUGGGUGUGAAAGCCCCGGGCUCAGCCCGGGAAGGGCACUCGAAACUGCCGAGCUGGAGUGCCGGAGGGGAGAGUGGAAUUCCUGGUGUAGCGGUGAAAUGCGUAGAUAUCAGGAGGAAUACCGGUGGCGAAAGCGACUCUCUGGACGGCAACUGACGCUGAGGCACGAAAGCGUGGGGAGCAAACAGG